GAUGAGCCGGAAUUGGCACCUUGUCUAUAAUAAGGUGCAAAAUGAUUUUAACUGAAGAGUUUGAUCAUGGCUCAGAUUGAACGCUGGCGGCAGGCUUAACACAUGCAAGUCGAGCGGGGGAAGGUAGCUUGCUACUGGACCUAGCGGCGGACGGGUGAGUAAUGCUUAGGAAUCUGCCUAUUAGUGGGGG
rnacentral:rRNA from 1 species